rnacentral:lncRNA from 1 species
GUAAUAAUGACACAGCAAGAUUAGUAUCUAAUCUAAGAAUCUCUGUUAAUUAUUGACUACUCACUAGGCAUCAUGCUCAUUAUUGUAUGUACAUUAUUUAUUUAAAUUUUAUACUGCCUUAGUGACAGACAAUUGUGUAUUAUUCCUGUUUUCUGAAGGAGAAAUUGGUGCUUGGAUACUUUGUGUAACAUGCUUAAAGUCACGUUAAAACUAACACAAACAAUGUCAAGAGCCUCAGUUCUUAAUACUGAAAUUAGGAAGCCAUUGAGGACAGGCUGUUUGUAUAAUCCCUGAUAAAAUGACUAUUAAGAGAAUGAGAACAGACUUUUUAAAAGUAUAUUCCGGCUCUUUACUUUGGAAAUUUUAAAUCCUGGAUGAGACAGAAAAAUUGGAGGACAAAUAAAAAUACUUUUGAGAGAAAGAUGAUAAGAACAGUAAAUCUCCCUUUGUCUGUCACCUGACACAAACCCAAAGAUACAUGGGCAUACCUGAAGCAGAUUCCUUUAGAAUUAAAGAGGAAGAAAAAGAUAGAUAUAUGGUCAGAGUGUUUUAAAGAGUGAAUGUAGGGUAAGUCUAGACAGAAACGUAAUAAUAUCACUUUUUAGUAAUGUAUCCAGUGCCCCAAAUGACUAUAAAGUAGCAGCAAGUGGGGCACUGGAUACAUUACUCAAAGGUGAUAUUGUAUUUCUG